rnacentral:sRNA from 1 species
UGAGGUUUCAACUGAAAAAGGGC